GAAAUGCGAUAAGUAAUGUGAAUUGCAGAAUUCAGUGAAUCAUCGAAUCUUUGAACGCAUCUUGCGCUCCUUGGUAUUCCUUGGAGCAUGCCUGUUUGAGUAUCAUGAAAUCUUCAAAGUAAAUCUUUUGUUAACUCAAUUGGUUUCUACUUUGGUAUUGGAGGUCUUUGCAGCUUCACACCUGCUCCUCUUUGUUCAUUAGCUGGAUCUCAGUGUUAUGCUUGGUUCCACUCGGCGUGAUAAGUUAUCUAUCGCUGAGGACACUGUAAAAGGUGGCCAAGGUAAAUGCAGAUGAACCGCUUCUAAUAGUCCAUUGACUUGGACAAUACUUUUAUGAUCUGAUCUCAAAUCAGGUAGGACUACCCGCUGAACUUAGGC
rnacentral:misc_RNA from 1 species